rnacentral:rRNA from 1 species
UACGUAGGGGGGCUAGCGUUGUCCGGAAUCAUUGGGCGUAAAGAGCGUGUAGGCGGCCCGGUAAGUCCGCUGUGAAAGUCGGGGGCUCAACCCUCGAAUGCCGGUGGAUACUGUCGGGCUAGAGUUUGGGAGAGGGAUGCGGAAUUCCCAGUGUAGCGGUGAAAUGCGUAGAGAUUGGGAAGAACACCGGUGGCGAAAGCGCUCUGCUGGGCCGCAACCGAACACUAAUGGACGAAAGCUAGGGGAGCGAAUGGG